UGUUCUGUGGCUUAGUUGGUUAAAGCGUUGGUCUAGCGAAUACGGAGUCGUGGGUUCAAAUCCCACCAGCACUC
rnacentral:tRNA from 1 species